rnacentral:rRNA from 1 species
GCUACCAUGCAGUCGAGCGGAUGAGGGAGCUUGCUCCUGGAUUCAGCGGCGGACGGGUGAGUAAUGCCUAGGAAUCUGCCUGGUAGUGGGGGAUAACGUCCGGAAACGGGCGCUAAUACCGCAUACGUCCUGAGGGAGAAAGUGGGGGAUCUUCGGACCUCACGCUAUCAGAUGAGCCUAGGUCGGAUUAGCUAGUUGGUGGGGUAAAGGCCUACCAAGGCGACGAUCCGUAACUGGUCUGAGAGGAUGAUCAGUCACACUGGAACUGAGACACGGUCCAGACUCCUACGGGAGGCAGCAGUGGGGAAUAUUGGACAAUGGGCGAAAGCCUGAUCCAGCCAUGCCGCGUGUGUGAAGAAGGUCUUCGGAUUGUAAAGCACUUUAAGUUGGGAGGAAGGGCAGUAAGUUAAUACCUUGCUGUUUUGACGUUACCAACAGAAUAAGCACCGGCUAACUUCGUGCCAGCAGCCGCGGUAAUACGAAGGGUGCAAGCGUUAAUCGGAAUUACUGGGCGUAAAGCGCGCGUAGGUGGUUCAGCAAGUUGGAUGUGAAAUCCCCGGGCUCAACCUGGGAACUGCAUCCAAAACUACUGAGCUAGAGUACGGUAGAGGGUGGUGGAAUUUCCUGUGUAGCGGUGAAAUGCGUAGAUAUAGGAAGGAACACCAGUGGCGAAGGCGACCACCUGGACUGAUACUGACACUGAGGUGCGAAAGCGUGGGGAGCAAACAGGAUUAGAUACCCUGGUAGUCCACGCCGUAAACGAUGUCGACUAGCCGUUGGGAUCCUUGAGAUCUUAGUGGCGCAGCUAACGCGAUAAGUCGACCGCCUGGGGGAGUACGGCCGCAAGGGUAAAAACUCAAAUGAAAUUGACGGGGGGCCCGCCACA